rnacentral:lncRNA from 1 species
UUUAGAUUUAUUCACUAGUUAUCGAUAUUUGCUAGAUUCAUAGGUUUUACCUGUCUUUCUAGUCUUUAUCACCAGUUAUCCAACUAGGAAUCGGUAGUUUCGGCUUCAUUUACCUUCUAUUAUUAAGUUCAUCUAUUGCCGAUUAGAUCUAUUCCUAGUGUUGUUAUCAUAGCUUUGUAUCGGUUACUUUAGUAAUUCCCUAUCUACAAGGCUACAGAGAUCAGGCUGCCUUAUAGCCGAUUUCUUUGUUACAGUAAAUCGGCCGAUUCGCUAAUAAACUCUCUCGAGAUUGGAAACUUAGCCGAUCGUGAUUUCUGGACCUGAC